UAGGGAAUCUUCCACAAUGGACGCAAGUCUGAUGGAGCAACGCCGCGUGAGUGAAGAAGGGUUUCGGCUCGUAAAGUUCUGUUGUUAAAGAAGAACGAGGGUAAGAGUAACUGUUUACCCAGUGACGGUAUUUAACCAGAAAGCCACGGCUAACUACGUGCCAG
rnacentral:rRNA from 1 species